rnacentral:rRNA from 1 species
GACGAACGCUGGCGGCGUGCUUAACACAUGCAAGUCGAACGGAAAGGCCCUGCUCUUGUGGGGUGCUCGAGUGGCGAACGGGUGAGUAACACGUGAGUAACCUGCCCUUGACUUUGGGAUAACUUCAGGAAACUGGGGCUAAUACCGGAUAGGAGAUCCUGCUGCAUGGGGGGGGUUGGAAAGUUUCGGCGGUGGGGGAUGGACUCGCGGCUUAUGAGCUUGUUGGUGGGGUAGUGGCUUACGAAGGCUUUGACGGGUAGCCGGCCUGAGAGGGUGACCGGCCACAUUGGGACUGAGAUACGGACCAGACUCCUAGGGGAGGCAGCAGUGGAGAAUAUUGCACAGUGGGCGGAAGCCUGAUGCAGCAGCGCCGCGUGCGUGAUGACGGCCUUCGAGUUGUAAACCGCUGUCGCCUGUGACGAAGCGUGAGUGACGGUAAUGAGUAAAGAAGCACCGGCUAACUACGUG